rnacentral:rRNA from 1 species
CAGUAGCCACGGUAAUACGAAGGGGGCUAGCGUUGUUCGGAAUUACUGGGCGUAAAGCGUGCGCAGGCGGUUUCUCAAGUCAGUGGUGAAAGCCCGGAGCUCAACUCCGGAACUGCCAUUGAAACUGUGAAGCUGGAGGACGAGAGAGGUGAGUGGAAUUCCCAGUGUAGAGGUGAAAUUCGUAGAUAUUGGGAAGAACACCGGUGGCGAAGGCGGCUCACUGGCUCGUUUCUGACGCUCAUGCACGACAGCGUGGGGAUCAAACAGGAUUAGAUACCCGUGUAGUCCCUGUCUCUUAUAC